CGAAGCGUGCGAUUGGAUUGCACGUCUAAGCAGUAAGGCUGAGUAUUAGGCAAAUCCGGUACUCGUUAAGGCUGAGCUGUGAUGGGGAGAAGACAUUGUGUCUUCGAGUCGUUGAUUUCACACUGCCGAGAAAAGCCUCUAGAUAGAAAAUAGGUGCCCGUACCGCAAACCGACACAGGUAGUCAAGAUGAGAAUUCUAAGGUGAGCGAGCGAACUCUCGUUAAGGAACUCGGCAAAAUGACCCCGUAACUUCGGGAGAAGGGGUGCUCUUUAGGGUUAACGCCCAGAAGAGCCGCAGUGAAUAGGCCC
rnacentral:rRNA from 1 species